rnacentral:rRNA from 1 species
AUACGUAGGUGGCAAGCGUUGUCCGGAUUUACUGGGUGUAAAGGGCGUGCAGCCGGGGAAGCAAGUCAGGUGUGAACUGCAGAGGCUUAACCUCUGAAUUGCAUUUGAAACUGUUUUUCUUGAGUACUGGAGGGGCAAUCGGAAUUCCUAGUGUAGCGGUGAAAUGCGUAGAUAUAAGGAGGAACACCAGUGGCGAAGGCGGAUUGCUGGAAAGCAACUGACGGUGAGGCGCGAAAGUGUGGGGAGCAAACAGGAUUAGAUACCCUGGUAGUCCACACUGUAAACGAUGAAUACUAGGUGAGCGGGGACUGACCCCCUGCGUGCCGGCGUUAACACAAUAAGUAUUCCACCUGGGGACUACGAUCGCAAGGUUGAAACUCAAAUGAAUUGGCGGGG